CGUUGGACACUGCAGACAGUCUUAUCACUCCGAUAGGCCAGAACAGGAAUUCGAUCAAAUGAGUCGCAAUUAAACUACACCCCCUUCUUUAAACUCAUUUUAGGAGUAAUUGAUAUCUUCUCCAAAGUGAACUACUGGAAUAUUACCUGUUUCAACAAAUGAUAUACAAGUUUUGGGAACUAAAGAGACUCAAAGUACAUACAGUACCCAGCAACACAAACUACCAAUUCAGCAACAGGUGAAUGGGCACCAACCCGCUCCCCCCCAGACAUCAGCGUCAGUUAGAGCAGAGGAAGAGGCAUUAAGGAGAAUAGGGGGGUCAUUUACUGUAGAAAUGGAGCAAGGACCAUGUACAGUAGAGAGAUGGAUGAAAUGGGAGUAGACAUGAGUGUGAGAGGUCUAGAUAAACUAGUUGGGUAGGUAUUUAUAUAUAAGAGGAAGAGGUGUAUUGACAGACACAGUUCACAUACUCAUAUCAGCUGAGACCAAUUAACUUAUAGACAGAGAGGGAGAUAGAGAGGGAUGGAGUGUGGAGAGAGUAUCCUGUGUGGGUCUGGGGAGCUGGAUCUGGACCCUGAUAUUGUGAGUGAAGAGGCCGGGAAACUGUACUCAGAACUACAGACAGUGAUAGAGACCCAUGGCGUAGGGGUUGUGGAGUCCCUGGUGCCCAUUCUUGUAUGGGUCCUGGAGGGCCUGGCCAGCUGCAGAGCCCAGCUCAGAGAGAGGGAGGAGGAGGCCGAGAGAGAGAAAGGAGAGCGAGAUGAGCUGUUGGAGAGAUACCAGAGUGAGAAACUACU